rnacentral:rRNA from 1 species
GAUGAACGCUGGCGGCGUGCCUAAUACAUGCAAGUCGAGCGAACAGACGAGGAGCUUGCUCCUCUGACGUUAGCGGCGGACGGGUGAGUAACACGUGGAUAACCUACCUAUAAGACUGGGAUAACUUCGGGAAACCGGAGCUAAUACCGGAUAAUAUAUUGAACCGCAUGGUUCAAUAGUGAAAGACGGUUUUGCUGUCACUUAUAGAUGGAUCCGCGCCGCAUUAGCUAGUUGGUAAGGUAACGGCUUACCAAGGCAACGAUGCAUAGCCGACCUGAGAGGGUGAUCGGCCACACUGGAACUGAGACACGGUCCAGACUCCUACGGGAGGCAGCAGUAGGGAAUCUUCCGCAAUGGGCGAAAGCCUGACGGAGCAACGCCGCGUGAGUGAUGAAGGUCUUCGGAUCGUAAAACUCUGUUAUUAGGGAAGAACAAAUGUGUAAGUAACUAUGCACGUCUUGACGGUACCUAAUCAGAAAGCCACGGCUAACUACGU